rnacentral:rRNA from 1 species
CCUACGGGAGGCUGCAGUGGGGAAUAUUGGACAAUGGGGGGAACCCUGAUCCAGCCAUGCCGCGUGUGUGAAGAAGGCCCUCGGGUUGUAAAGCACUUUCAGUGAGGAAGAACGCCUGGUGGUUAAUACCCAUCAGGAAAGACAUCACUCACAGAAGAAGCACCGGCUAACUCCGUGCCAGCAGCCGCGGUAAUACGGAGGGUGCGAGCGUUAAUCGGAAUUACUGGGCGUAAAGCGCGCGUAGGUGGCUUGAUAAGCCGGUUGUGAAAGCCCCGGGCUCAACCUGGGAACGGCAUCCGGAACUGUCAAGCUAGAGGGCAGGAGAGGAAGGUAGAAUUCCCGGUGUAGCGGUGAAAUGCGUAGAGAUCGGGAGGAAUACCAGUGGCGAAGGCGGCCUUCUGGACUGACACUGACGCUGAGGUGCGAAAGCGUGGGUAGCAAACAGGAUUAGAUACCCCUGUAGUC